rnacentral:lncRNA from 1 species
AAUUGAGAUACAGUUUGCGCAAGGUGACCGCAAAACACCAGGUCAAAUGAAGUCAAAAGAGCGUCACCUGUGCUCCCCGAGUGACCACAGGAGAUCCAGAAGCCCCAGCCAGAGGAGAUCUCGAAGCCGGAGUUCCUCAUGGGGAAGAGACCGGAGGCGCUCCGAUAGCCUGAAAGAGCAGUCUACCUCAGCGAGGCAGUCAAGAACACCACGAAGGAAUUCUGGAUCUAGAGGACGAUCAAGAUCCAAGUCGCUACCGAAAAGGUCCAAAUCGAUGGAAAAGUCACAGUCACGCUCGCCUCAAAAGCAGACUGUCUCGGGAGCAAAACCCAGAUCGCACGGACGGCACUGUGACUCCAUAGCAAGAUCCCCAUGCAAGUCUCCCAGAGGGUACGCCAGUUCGGGGUCGAAGACACAGACAACGAAACAUUCUCACUUCCGGUCACACUCCAGAUCCCGGAGCUACCAUCAUAAAAACAGUUGGUGAACAGCAACUUCCAGCAGAGCCACAGAGCCCUGCUCCAAGUCGUCACGGCUCAUCGUGCUUAAAACUCUUCAAGGCUUGUAGAAAUGCGAACCGGUGUUAGUUACUUCCGGCAUGUGCAAGGAAUAAAAUUGCCCUAGCUUUGGUUAAUAAAUGUUUUAUCUCGAUUUAAGGGCUCAUCCACAACUCACUCACUGUGUGCAAUGUCGCCUUUGCAUAGCCUGUACCUGGUUCACGCGGUAGCGAGGGGUACUUUCCGAAAGAUGUUGGUAAAACGGAACCAAUGCAAAAAUUCUACUUAGGUAUUAAAUACUGUCGACAAUAUCCUU